UACGGGGGAUCCAAUCGUUAUCCGGAAUCAUGGGUUUUAAAGGGUCCGUAGGCGGGUUAAUAAGUCAGUGGUGAAAGUCUUCAGCUCAACUGUAGAAUUGACAUUGAUACUGUUAACCUUGAGUAAUUAUGAAGUGGUUAGAAUAUGUAGUGUAGCGGUGAAAUGCAUAGAUAUUACAUAGAAUACCGAUUGCGAAGGCAGAUCACUAAUAAUUUACUGACGCUGAUGGACGAAAGCGUAGGUAGCGAACAGG
rnacentral:misc_RNA from 1 species